GUUGGUUGCUGUAAUUCCAUUAUUACGGUUUUUCAUCAUGGCAUUUCAGUGUGCUUCUUAGAAAAGACGACGCAAGAUCCCCACGGACAUCCUUGAGCCAAUGCUGGAUUUUGUCCAUGACAGAAGAGGGACUUCCACCAACGUUCUGCUCCAUCCUUAUCUUCAAGACGUACGCUCAUCCAGCUUCACUGCUUCAGUGCUUCAUAUGCUGCUAGCCUGCUACACAACUUUUCUUGCUUCACUGGCG